rnacentral:rRNA from 1 species
GAUUAUGGCUCAGGACGAACGCUGGCGGCGUGCCUAACACAUGCAAGUCGAGCGAGGAGAUCCUCGGGAUGAUCCUAGCGGCGGACGGGUGAGUAACACGUGGGCAACCUGCCUCAUAGAGAGGAAUAGCCUUCCGAAAGGGAGAUUAAUACCUCAUAACAUUGCAGUUUCGCAUGAAACAGCAAUUAAAGGAGCAAUCCGCUAUGAGAUGGGCCCGCGGCGCAUUAGCUAGUUGGUGAGGUAACGGCUCACCAAGGCGACGAUGCGUAGCCGACCUGAGAGGGUGAUCGGCCACAUUGGGACUGAGACACGGCCCAGACUCCUACGGGAGGCAGCAGUGGGGAAUAUUGCACAAUGGGGGAAACCCUGAUGCAAGCAACGCCGCGUGAGUGAUGACGGCCUUCGGGUUGUAAAGCUCUGUCUUCAGGGACGAUAAUGACGGUACCUGAGGAGGAAGCCACGGCUAACUACGUGCCAGCAGCGGC